GCUGACCGCUGGCGGCGUGCCUAAUACAUGAAAGUAAAACGCUGAAGGAAGGAGCUUGCUCUUUCCGGAUGAGUUGCGAACGGGUGAGUAACGCGUAGGUAACCUGCCUGGUAGCGGGGGAUAACUAUUGGAAACGAUAGCUAAUACCGCAUAACAGUAGAUGUUGCAUGAUAUCUACUUAAAAGGUGCAAUUGCACCACUACCAGCUGGACAUGCGUUGUAUUAGCUAGUUGGUGAGGUAACGCCUCACCAAGGCGACGAUACAUAGCCGACCUUAGAGGUGUAGCUGCCACCCUCGCACUUAGUCACCGCUCAUUCUCCUACGUGAGCCAGCAGUAGGGGAUCUUCUGCAAUGGACGCAAGUCUGAUCGAUCAACGCCGCGUCCGUCCAGAAGCUUCUCGGUUCGUAAAGCUCUCUUGUACGAUAAGAACGUGUGUGAUCGUGGAAAUGUCACACUUUGUCGGUAUCUUACCAGAAAGGGACCUCUAUCUACUUG
rnacentral:rRNA from 1 species